GCUCCCGUAGUGUAGUCCGGUCAAUCAUUCUGGCCUUUCGAGCCAGAUACCCGGGUUCAAAUCCCGGCGGGAGCA
rnacentral:tRNA from 1 species